rnacentral:rRNA from 1 species
GGGUUAAGUCCCGUAACGAGCGCAACCCUUGUCCUUAGUUACCAGCACGUUAUGGUGGGCACUCUAAGGAGACUGCCGGUGACAAACCGGAGGAAGGUGGGGAUGACGUCAAGUCAUCAUGGCCCUUACGGCCGUGGGCUACACACGUGCUACAAUGGUCGGUACAAAGGGUUGCCAAGCCGCGGAGGUGGAGCUAAUACCCAUAAAACCGAUCGUAGUCCGGAUCGCAGUCUGCAACUCGACUGCGUGAAGUCGGAAUCGCUAGUAAUCGUGAAUCAGAAUGUCACGGUGAAUACGUUCCCGGGCCUU